rnacentral:rRNA from 1 species
AUUGAACGCUGGCGGCAGGCUUAACACAUGCAAGUCGAGCGGGGUGAGGUACUUCGGUACUGAUCCUAGCGGCGGACGGGUGAGUAAUGCUUAGGAAUCUGCCAUUUAGUGGGGGACAACAUUCCGAAAGGGAUGCUAAUACCGCAUACGUCCUACGGGAGAAAGCAGGGGAUCUUCGGACCUUGCGCUAAAUGAUGAGCCUAAGUCGGAUUAGCUAGUUGGUGGGGUAAAGGCCUACCAAGGCGACGAUCUGUAGCGGGUCUGAGAGGAUGAUCCGCCACACUGGGACUGAGACACGGCCCAGACUCCUACGGGAGGCAGCAGUGGGGAAUAUUGGACAAUGGGCGGAAGCCUGAUCCAGCCAUGCCGCGUGUGUGAAGAAGGCCUUUUGGUUGUAAAGCACUUUAAGCGAGGAGGAGGCUACCUGGAUUAAUACUCUAGGAUAGUGGACGUUACUCGCAGAAUAAGCACCGGCUAAUUCUGUGCCAGCCGCCGCAGUAA